AUAUAAGAUGUUGUAAGAUCCCGGCCAAAUCCCUAUAGUGCGCAGUCCGAAUUCAACCAGGGGGCUCACGGUGGUCGUUAAACCCAUUUUACGUUAACUUCUGAUUAGCAAGGCGACCCCGUAUCCAGCGCGUUUGACAUUUAAGACGACACAGAAAUCUCACUAUUCAACGCCAGGCAACGUCAAGUAAUCCUCAAGAAUUCUAGAGGGUUCAUCGCCCAAGCACGAACCCGGUGACCGUCGGUCAGUCGAAAUUAUUCAUCGCGCAUGCAUGAAGUAUAUUAUAAGAGAAGAACACUGUAUGACUAUGAUUUCGAGUUUGUCGAAGGAAAAAAAUAUAUCAUAGGUAACAAGUUUUGCGCUUCUCGAAUGUUUCCAGGUGUACGAUUGCAAUGUUAUUUGCUUUAAAAAUGCAAAAGGUGCAUUUCAAAUAAACUUGUGCAUCAUGAUACACUACGGAGUUAUAAUCAAAGGUAAGAUAAAAAACUUCGCAAGGAAGGGAGUCGGAUAUCUUUCAUUCAAUCGAUGAGUAGAGCAUGACGCAGUGUUCUGUGCACAACGAUCAGUGUCAAGAGUGCAGGCUUAUCUAGUGCUGUGUGUGCCGUGUUCUUAAAUAACAAUUUAUUACUCUAUAAUAGGUUAAGUUUAUUUACUCGUAAAGAAAAGUGCUAAUAUAGUUUCUUGCAAUGUAUUUUGUUAUAAAACAAAAAAUUUUAAUAGUUAUAAAUUGG